CAGCCGCCACGGUAAUACGUAGGGUGCGAGCGUUAAUCGGAAUUACUGGGCGUAAAGCGUGCGCAGGCGGUUCGUUAAGACAGAUGUGAAAUCCCCGGGCUUAACCUGGGAACUGCAUUUGUGACUGGCGAGCUAGAGUAUGGCAGAGGGGGGUAGAAUUCCACGUGUAGCAGUGAAAUGCGUAGAGAUGUGGAGGAAUACCGAUGGCGAAGGCAGCCCCCUGGGCCAAUACUGACGCUCAUGCACGAAAGCGUGGGGAGCAAACAGGAUUAGAGACCCGCGUAGUCCCUGUCUCUUAUAC
rnacentral:rRNA from 1 species